UACGGGGGGGGUAAGCGUUGUUCGGAAUUACUGGGCGUAAAGCGUGCGCAGGCGGUCUUUUAAGUCAGAUGUGAAAUCCCCGGGCUUAACCUGGGAACUGCGUUUGAAACUGGAAGGCUAGAGUGUGGCAGAGGGGGGUGGAAUUCCGACGUGUAGCAGGUGAAAUGCGUAGAUAUGAUGGAGGAACACCGAUGGCGAAGGCAGCCCCCUGGGCUAACACUGACGCUCGAUGCACGAAAGCGUGGGGAGCGAAACCAGG
rnacentral:rRNA from 1 species